rnacentral:rRNA from 1 species
AAUAGUUGCACAAUGGGCGCAAGCCUGAUGCAGCCAUGCCGCGUGUAUGAAGAAGGACCUUCGGGUUGUAAAGUACUUUCAGCAGUGAGGAAGGUGGAUAUGGUUAAUAGCAUAUUCAUUUGACGUUAGCUGCAGAAGAAGCACCGGCUAACUCCGUGCCAGCAGCCGCGGUAAUACGGAGGGUGCGAGCGUUAAUCGGAAUUACUGGGCGUAAAGCGCAUGCAGGUGGUUUGUUAAGUCAGAUGUGAAAGCCCCGGGGCUCAACCUCGGAAUUGCAUUUUGAAACUGGCAAACUAGAGUACUGUAGAGGGGGGUAGGAAUUUCAGGUGUAGCGGUGAAAUAGCGUAGAGAUCUGAAGGAAUACCGGUGGCGAAGGCGGCCCCCCUGGACAGAUACUGACACUCAGAUGCGAAAGCGUGGGGAGGCAAACAGGAUUAGAUACCCUGGUAG